rnacentral:rRNA from 1 species
GACGAACGCUGGCGGCGUGCCUAAUACAUGCAAGUCGAACGAAGCUUUUUUAACUGGUGCUUGCACCGACUUAAACAACUGAGUGGCGAACGGGUGAGUAACACGUGGGUAACCUGCCCCAAAGCGGGGGAUAACAUUUGGAAACAGAUGCUAAUACCGCAUAACCACAGGAACCACAUGGUUUCUGUGUCAAAGAUGGGUUCGGCUAUCACAUUGGGAUGGACCCGCGGCGUAUUAGCUAGUUGGUAAGGUAAUGGCUUACCAAGGCAAUGAUACGUAGCCGAACUGAGAGGUUGAUCGGCCACAGUGGGACUGAGACACGGCCCAAACUCCUACGGGAGGCAGCAGUAGGGAAUCGUCCACAAUGGACGAAAGUCUGAUGGAGCAACGCCGCGUGAGUGAAGAAGGUUUUCGGAUCGUAAAACUCUGUUGUCAGAGAAGAACGUGUGCGAGAGUAACUGUUCGUGCAGUGACGGUAUCUGGCCAGAAAGCCACGGCUAACUACGUGCCAGCCGCCGCGGUAA